UACGGGGGGGUGCGAGCGUUGUCCGGAAUCACUGGGCGUAAAGGGCGCGUAGGCGGCAUGCCAAGCGUGUGGUGAAAGCCCGGGGCUCAACCCCGGGUCGGCCGUGCGGACUGGCGUGCUCGAGCACUGUAGGGGCGGGUGGAAUUCCGGGUGUAGCGGUGAAAUGCGCAGAUAUCAGGAAGAACACCCGUGGCGAAGGCGGCUCUCUGGAACGCAACUGACGCUGAGACGCGAAAGCGUGGGGAGCAAACAGG
rnacentral:rRNA from 1 species